GAUGAACGCUGGCGGCGUGCCUAAUACAUGCAAGUAGAACGCUGAAGCUUGGUGCUUGCACCGAGCGGAUGAGUUGCGAACGGGUGAGUAACGCGUAGGUAACCUGCCUCUUAGCGGGGGAUAACUAUUGGAAACGAUAGCUAAUACCGCAUAAAAGUCGAUAUCGCAUGAUAUUGAUUUGAAAGGUGCAAUUGCAUCACUAAGAGAUGGACCUGCGUUGUAUUAGCUAGUUGGUGAGGUAACGGCUCACCAAGGCAACGAUACAUAGCCGACCUGAGAGGGUGAUCGGCCACACUGGGACUGAGACACGGCCCAGACUCCUACGGGAGGGAGCAGUAGGGAAUCUUCGGCAAUGGGGGCAACCCUGACCGAGCAACGCCGCGUGAGUGAAGAAGGUUUUCGGAUCGUAAAGCUCUGUUGUAAGAGAAGAACGAGUGUGAGAGUGGAAAGUUCACACUGUGACGGUAACUUACCAGAAAGGGACGGCUAACUACGUG
rnacentral:rRNA from 1 species